UUACAUGGAAGUGCAGAGAGGACCUUCGAUGCUUGACAGCAUCACUUUCCAAGUGAAAGGUGUGCUUAUUGAGGCAGAGAUAAUCCCCCUCUGGAAGAGCUGGAAAAUACACAACCCUACUGGUGAUGUGGUAGAAAGCUGGAAAGCAUCCUAAAUGCAAUGUGACUCCAUCAACAGACCUCACAGUGGAGUUAAAAAGGUACAGUUCAAUUUAAAAAAAACACCCUUUUCUUAACUGACUGCUAAUAGCAUGCCCUUUAAACUCAUCCCAUGAUAUUUUUUGGAAGUGAACUGUGUUUUAUUUAUUUUUGAAAUGGUCUGGGUUAGCAAAGGUAGAGAAAGCAACCACAGAGCUAGCUGAAUGGCACAAAAGGUUUGUAUCAAUGCAUGUGCUACUCAUGUAGGGUGCAGCACGUAUGUGAGCAGCUCUGGCGGCAUGCAACCCCAGUGGAGCUUUAGUGUAGGUCUGGCAAUCAGUCCAUAAGCCUUAAUCCUGCAAAUAUACAUCACGCUUCAUUUUAUACUCGUGAGAAGCCCAACCUGAAUAAAAUCCUAUUAAAUUGAGAGUCUACA
rnacentral:lncRNA from 1 species